rnacentral:rRNA from 1 species
UACGUAGGGUGCGAGCGUUAAUCGGAAUUACUGGGCGUAAAGCGUGCGCAGGCGGUCUCGUAAGCUGGGUGUGAAAGCCCCGGGCUUAACCUGGGAAUGGCAUUCAGGACUGCGAGGCUUUGAGUGUGGCAGAGGGAGGUGGAAUUCCACGUGUAGCAGUGAAAUGCGUAGAGAUGUGGAGGAACACCGAUGGCGAAGGCAGCCUCCUGGGCCAGCACUGACGCUCAUGCACGAAAGCGUGGGGAGCAAACAGG